rnacentral:rRNA from 1 species
AGAGUUUGAUCAUGGCUCAGAUUGAACGCUGGCGGUAUGCUUAACACAUGCAAGUCGAACGGUAACAGAAAAAGCUUGCUUUUUGCUGACGAGUGGCGGACGGGUGAGUAACGCGUAGGAAUCUACCCAAAAGAGGGGGACAACUUGGGGAAACCCAAGCUAAUACCGCAUAAGCCACCGUAUUCGAAAGAAAAAAGUGGUAAAGUGGGGGACCUUCGGGCCUCACGCUUUUGGAUGAGCCUGCGUUGGAUUAGCUAGUUGGUGAGGUAAAAGCCCACCAAGGCAACGAUCCAUAGCUGUUCUGAGAGGAAGAUCAGCCACACUGGGACUGAGACACGGCCCAGACUCCUACGGGAGGCAGCAGUGGGGAAUAUUGGACAAUGGGCGCAAGCCUGAUCCAGCAAUACCGCGUGUGUGAAGAAGGCCUGCGGGUUGUAAAGCACUUUCAAUCGGGAAGAAAAGGGGAAGGUGAAUAGCCCUCCUCCUUGACGUUACCGAUACAAGAAGCACCGGCUAACCCUGUGCCAGCAGCCGCGGUAAUACAGGGGGUGCAAGCGUUAAUCGGAAUUACUGGGCGUAAAGCGCGCGCAGGCGGUUGGUUAAGUCAAAUGUGAAAGCCCUGGGCUCAACCUGGGAACUGCAUAUGAAACUGGCGAACUAGAGUAUGGUAGAGGGUGGUGGAAUUCCAGGUGUAGCGGUGAAAUGCGUAGAGAUCUGGAGGAACAUCAGUGGCGAAGGCGGCCACCUGGACCAAUACUGACGCUGAGGCGCGAAAGCGUGGGUAGCAAACAGGAUUAGAUACCCUGGUAGUCCACGCCGUAAACGAUGUCAACUAGCCGUUGGGUCCAAUUAAAGGGCUUAGUGGCGCAGCAAACGCGAUAAGUUGACCGCCUGGGGAGUACGGUCGCAAGAUUAAAACUCAAAGGAAUUGACGG